rnacentral:rRNA from 1 species
UACGAAGGGGGCUAGCGUUGUUCGGAUUUACUGGGCGUAAAGCGCACGUAGGCGGGUCGUUAAGUCGGGGGGGAAAUCCUGGAGCUCAACUCCAGAACUGCCUUCGAUACUGGCGACCUAGAGUCCGGAAGAGGUGAGUGGAACUCCUAGUGUAGAGGUGGAAUUCGUAGAUAUUCGCAAGAACACCAGUGGCGAAGGCGGCUCACUGGCCCGAUACUGACGCUGAGGUGCGAAAGCGUGGGGAGCAAACAGG